rnacentral:rRNA from 1 species
UACGUAGGGUGCAAGCGUUGUCCGGAAUUAUUGGGCGUAAAGAGCUCGUAGGCGGUCUGUCGCGUCGGAUGUGAAAACCCAGGGCUCAACCCUGGGCCUGCAUUCGAUACGGGCAGACUAGAGUUCGGUAGGGGAGACUGGAAUUCCUGGUGUAGCGGUGAAAUGCGCAGAUAUCAGGAGGAACACCGGUGGCGAAGGCGGCCUUCUGGACGAUGACUGACGCUGAGACGCGAAAGCGUGGGGAGCAAACAGG